CUUUGGUGGAAACUGCUACAAAAAAAACAUUCUUCUGAGCCCAAAGCUGCAAUCGUACUCUGUACUGUUCCAUCCAUUUUCCAUACCACCUUAUCCUGUUCAUGAUUGCAGGGGAAGCACGAGCCCAUCCCAGCUGACUUGGGGCAAAAAGCAGACUACACCAUGGACUCAACUGCCUGCGUCAGCAACUGUGCAGAUCGUAGGAGCCUCACCUGCCGUCUCUUUCGGCCGCUCCGCCUUCAAUGACGGUCUUGACGAAGAUACCCAGUUUCUCCAGGCCUGCGUCAGCACCAACGCCCAUCCCGAUGAUGCUGAUCCCCAAGCCAUCCUCAUCUGAACACAUGAGCUCUACGGGGAAAAGCUCAAGCUUCUCCACCCUCUUCUCCAGCUCGUACUCUGCGGACGAAGCCACAGGAUCCACUUCCUCGUUACGGCGGUCAUAGUCCUCGUUGGAGUAGGUCUUAAAUACCUGGAGAGGACGUCUCUCUCCUCCUCUGCAAUAGUCAACUGUCACUUCACAUCUCAUCCCAGGCUGCAGGAUGCCCUCGCGGCUCCCUUCAUGCAGUGCAGAGAAGAGCGCUAGCUCAGAGCUGUGCACAAUCUGUUGCCAGCAAGCGAGCUCUCGUCACAUGUACGGUGCAAAAGGCCAGCUGCAGGUGCUGACUUAAAAGGGGUGCUAGGAUGUGAAACAAGAGUGUGAGUGCAUGGCCAUGCCACUAUGGCCGAGCAGAAGUGUCAUCUUCUGGGCCGGCAACUGGUGUAUUUUUUUAAGACUCUAGAAUGAAAUACAUUGGAUAAUGUGGUUAAAGAUCCCAGCUAUAAAUUGGAAUAUUGUUCAGUAUCACGUGAUACACUGCAGCCAUUCAGUUCAUUUUUUUUUCAAAAUUGGUGAAAAAAAAGAUAUCUAAUGUGCCAUAUUGUACAAGUACCAACAAAUGACCAAAAUACACUCACUAGAUCAGUUUUUAAUAAAACGGAGGUAUCACAAAUAUUUAAGUUUACAUUUACACAGGGACGUGUUAGCAUAUACAGUAGCCCUACAGUAUAGCAUAAAGAUUCCCUUUCAUUCGUCUAUCUAUGCCAUUGAUCUACAGUAUAUUGACAGGUACAACAAUUUAAAUAUCUUCUACGACCAGCACACAUCAUUAUUUCAGCAUUCUGUACAUACGUUUUGUGACAUUUUUGUUUGGUGUGCCGUGACAUUUAAUUUUUCUAAUGUAAAAUAUGUUUUACGUUUUUGGCUCAAUAAAGCUUGGUAUACAUUGCUAUAUGC